ACAAAUUGAAUUGGGUUAGUAGGAAAUGUAAAAUGUGAAUAAGUAGAAAAAGUUCUUUGAACUCAAUGACACAAUUGUACAACCUAAAGAACAGACUUGUCGAAGUAAGGUCGUAAAGCAGGUAAGACUCUAGUCUAGUCAUAUCUAAAAUGAAGGAGGUAUACAGCUUUCCCAUUGUUGUUUCUCAAGAGUUUAACUUGCAUGUAUCCCAUGUGGCUAUUUUUCCAAGAAGGAUCCUUAACUUUUUCCCUGUAAUGUACUUGAAGGAAAGAAAGUGGCAUCCCACAAAGCACAAUCAGUUACUUUUUCUCCCAAACUUAUUAUUUAAACAGCUUUUUCUAAGUUUCCAAAGAAAGCCACUGCUCAUACAAUCUGUUCUUUUAAGAAACCAACAAUGAAUUGCUGUCUAAAUCUUACCUCUUUCAUCCCAGCUCUUCUUUUGGCAGCUUUUUCCCUAACCGUUUUCCCUUCUCAUGGAAUCCCCCAUGAAAAUCUGGUCACCAUUUGCUCUAAAACCUCCAAUCCGUCGCUCUGUGAGAAAAUCCUUAAUAAUGAUUCCCGUACCGUCUCGGCCAACCUCCCUAAGCUCUCACUUAUAUGCAGCAAUCUGGCCAAGAAACAAGCAGAUCAAAACCUUGAUACCUUCUACAAACUAAGUAAGAAUGAGAGUGAUCCCGAGGAGAAGAAAAGUUUUGAGCAUUGUGUGAAGUAUUACCAUGAAAUUCAAUCAAAUAUCCAAAAAGCUUAUCAGUUCUCACAGCAGAAGAUCUUCAGAGAGAAUGGUCCAUUGGUGGCAUCAAAGAGACUUGUUCUAAAGUGUAGUCAAGCCAUUAGAAUCAAUUCAUUGUAUAUUGAAGUCAUGAACAAACUUAUGAUCCUAUGUUGUGAUAUUUCAAUAAGCGUAAAUCAAUGUGCUGCUGCUAAUGGUCACCAUUCAGUAAAUGUUUGAUAAAAGCAAUAAGUAAUGAAACAAUGAACAUUACUUAUUGUUCUUAUUGUUUUGUUUGAGUUUGUCUGUUGAAUAUGAACUAAAUAAGUUUGUUAGUUGAAUUUUUCUUCUACGUAAUGUUUUGAUUUAUCCCUAGACUAAGAAAAGUAAAUGAUGAAAGAGAUAAAUUGAAAAAUUUUGUAAUUAUAUGGAAAAGAAAUGUGAAUCGUGGAAGUUUUAGAAAAAGAGUAUAACAUGCAAGGAAGAAAUUUGAAUUCUUGAAUGUACCACUAUAGCAUGCAAGAUCAGAUUUGUUUCUCUCAACUUGUAAUUUCCAAAACGAUAUGCAAAAAGAUCUACUAUAGCUAAGUAUAAACCAACAAACAAUUAAUAUAUAUCUUCCUUUUUACUUUAAUUUGAGUUAUUUGAACUGAAAUCACCAACCAGAAAAUCAAGAGAAAAUGUAUAAGAAUGCAUGCCAAGAUUGUGCAUAAAAUAGCAGCACAAUAGCAGCACAAAGUAUCCUAUAAAAGCUACUCUCACCUUAUUCUGCUUUUGUCAGAAUUCCAAACAUUAGCACCCAAGUAAGAAUCGCUUUCUCAUAUUCUUCAUAACUGCUAACCUUCUUCCUCACUCUCUUCAUUGUUCAUCCAGCUUUGGGUGACCCGGCAACACAGCAGCAGAUAAAUCGAAUAUGCCAUCAAAAUGAGGAUUAUGGGUUUUGCAAUAAAACCUUCAAUGAAAAUCUGAAAGGUCCAGCAGAUGAU
rnacentral:lncRNA from 1 species